CUCGGCUCGAGAAGGUGCUUUAGUCUGAAGAUGGCGGCCUCAGCAGCGAGAGGUGCUGCGGCGCUGCGUAGAAGUAUCAAUCAGCCGGUUGCUUUUGUGAGAAGAAUUCCUUGGACUGCGGCGUCGAGUCCAGGUUCACACUAGAAGGCCAAAACUUCCGCAAACAUCUGAUGAUGAAAAGAAAGAUUUUUGAGACUGCAGCCUAUUAAUAAAGUUAACAUAACUGAG
rnacentral:lncRNA from 1 species